UAGAGAUUGUAGACAAAAAUAUUGUGUUGUGGACAAUAAUUAUACUGUAAAUAAAAAAACGAUGACAAGAUGUCAUGUCACGAAUGAUGAUGACGGCGGCAAUUAAUAGCUCCGACGAAGAAAUCAUAAUCAACAAAACCAAAGCUCUUCACCUUUUUUUGGAAUUUCUAGAUUCGUUUUUGUUAGUUUUGCAAAAGUAGUAAAGAGAGGAGAUGAAAAAGACAUUGGUUUUGUGGAAAGUAAGAAGAAGGGUAAAAUUGUCUUACAUCGUGGACCAACAAUCGUUGGUAACUUCUGCUCAUAAUCUCUAAUCGGGUAAAUGGACAAAAAAUUUAAAGUAACAAAAGGUAUGGACAAGAAUACAUUUUCGGUUUUAUCGUAGACAUCUUUUUUGUCUUUCCUUGUAGACAUCUUUUUCUUCGUCUUCAGUUUUCUAGUAGACAUCUUUGUCUUCGACUUCCUCGUAGACAACAAACACUUAAUCUGCACAAUUGAAGUGGAAUAACCAAUUAGAAACAAAAUCACAACCAGUAAAUCAUCAUAUUUAGAUGCGAAAAUGAAUUUGAUUUAUAUGGAAAAUCAAAAGGAUGUAUUCUUGAGGAUAUCAAAAUUUACAGAUUUGAAUUUUUUGAUCUAGAAAGAGAAUAAGACGAUGGUGGAUAUGCAAAAAGAUCUAAACAAUUGAAAAUAAAUCUUAGAUCUAAACAAUAGUUGUAAGAGAGACGAAAUAAAGAAAGGAAGAGGAGAGAUAGAGCAAGGAAUAUGAGAGAGAGAGCAUGAAACGAUAUAGAAGAGAAGAAGAUGAAGAUAUUUGUUUGUGUUUGUAGAGAAAUAAUAAAAAGGAUAAUUGUGUCUUUUCAAUUAUUAGAAUUACGUAUAUUAUAUAUUUUUACUUGUAUUAUUUAA
rnacentral:lncRNA from 1 species